rnacentral:rRNA from 1 species
UGAAUACGAGAUGCUACGGCGUCGAAGCAGUGUAUGUCAGACUUCCAAGAAAAGCUCGCAAUGUCAUAAAUAAAGAAUGCCUGUACCAUAACCGACACAGGUGGGUAGGUAGAGUAUACUAAGGGGCGCGAGAUAACUCUCUCUAAGGAACUCGGCAAAAUAACUCCGUAACUUCGGGAGAAGGAGUGCCUUCUUUAAGAAGGUUGCAAUAACAAGAUCCAAGCAACUGUUUAUCAAAAACACAGGUCUCCGCUAAGUCGUAAGACGAUGUAUGGGGGCUGACGCCUGCCCAGUGCCAGAAGGUUAAAGAAGCUGGUUAGCAAUAGCGAAGCUGGUGACUGAAGCCCUGGUGAACGGCGGCCGUAACGAUAACGGUCCUAAGGUAGCGAAAUUCCUUGUCGGGUAAGUUCCGACCCGCACGAAAGGCGUAAUGAUUUGGAUACUGUCUCGGAGAGGGACUCGGUGAAAUAGACUUGUCUGUGAAGAUGCGGACUACCUGCACCAGGACAGAAAGACCCUAUGAAGCUUUACUGUAACCUGAAAUUGAAAUUGGACUUUAUUUGCGCAGUAUAGGUGGGAGGCGUUGAAAGUAAUCUUGCGGGAUUAGUGGAGCCAUCAGUGAGAUACCACUCCUAUAAUGUUAGAUUUCUAACUUUGGAUCAUGAUCUGGUCAAAGAACAGUUUCAGGCGGGCAGUUUGACCGGGGCGGUCGCCUCCCAAAUGGUAACGGAGGCGUACAAAGGUUUCCUCUGAACGGGUAGAAAUCGUAUCUAGAGUGUAAAGGCAUAAGGAAGCUUGACUGUGAGACCUACAAGUCGAGCAGGGACGAAAGUCGGUCUUAGUGAUCUGACGGUGCUGAGUGGAAAGGCCGUCACUCAACGGAUAAAAGUUACUCUAGGGAUAACAGGCUGAUCUCCCCCAAGAGUUCACAUCGACGGGGAGGUUUGGCACCUCGAUGUCGGCUCAUCGCAUCCUGGGGCGGUAGUACGUCCCAAGGGUUGGGCUGUUCGCCCAUGAAAGCGGUACGCGAGCUGGGUUCAGAACGUCGUGAGACAGUUCGGUCCAUAUCCGGUGUAGGCGUUAGAAUAUUGAGAGGAGCCUUCUCUAGUACGAGAGGACCGAGAAGGACAUACCUCUGGUGUACCAGUUAUCGUGCCAACGGUAAACGCUGGGUAGCUAUGUAUGGAGAGGAUAACCGCUGAAAGCAUCUAAGUGGGAAGCCCACCUCAAGAUGAG